rnacentral:sRNA from 1 species
ACCUCCUCAUCCUUGAGAAAAGUAGAAGUGUGUGCCAUGAGCUCUCGAGAAAACAGAGCCGGAUUGACAUCCUUUUCUGCCCAUCUGUCAGUAGACAAGAGAAUGACUAGCAGGAUAAAAACCUUGUGUUAAUGCGAAUUGCUGAAAACACCAUGUAUUUUUUUGAGAAGUGCUGAAAUCAACCCAAAAUUAAAAGGAAGGAAACAAAAGCACAAUCUACAAUUUAUUGAAGCAGUUCUUUUCAGGGACAAAAGUACAAAACAAUUCAUUGCAGCGAAGAUGGUGUACCCUGAAACUCCAUCUGCGACGGCAAACACUCCACCAUCAUCGCCGUUCACAAAGAAAGCAUCUUCUCCGCCAGUCUCAGCCUUCAGAAUUUGAAGAACAUUCAAAUAUCAAACAAUGGUUGCUUCUGUUGUAUAAUUGAGUAUGAAGGGGAAAAAAACACUACCAGAAGAGUAAUAUAUUAAUAUGUUUAUCUAAAAAAUGACUAACCUUUCUUGGGUGUGGUAUUAGAUGAGUUCCAAUAGUUAACACAGCUUCCAACCUACAAUUACAGGCUCACAUUACCAAACACUGACAGAUGAAGCACACUAGAAAUAACUAAAGA